GGUGAGAAGUAGCAAGAGGUUCCUUAAUAGCAUUUGGCAGAUUAGAAUAAAAUUGAAGUACCAUCAGGUUGAUCUCUAAUUUUCACUGAACUAACAAAAACACAUUUGCUCCACAUUUCCCUUUGCGCUGUCAGUGAAAAUGUUAUACGUCUUAGCUACCUCUGCUCGCUUUCGAUGUUCAGUUCACUACUUUACUGCUCUUUCCUUAAUUUCGAGAGGACACAGGAGAGGGAGCUACAAUGGCAGGAGAAGAAUGCAACGAGGUGCGGUCUUCUGUUCGAUGCCAAGGGCCUGUCCGGCAGUGAUUUCCUCGGGAUGAUCUAGAUGAUAUAACAAAAGGAUUAUAUAUGCAUUUGUGUGCUUCAGAAAAGGUUACUGCUACAUUCAACUUUUCACCAGAAAUGAUUCGUAUAUCCUGAAGAUGUUGCUAGCGUCUUGAAGGAUUACUUAUAUUUGCUCCCUAAUUUCCUGGAUUAUACGAAGUGAGUUGGAUCAUCGAGGGUUGGCGAAACUGAUAUUCAAAUUUGUUUUGUUCUUUAGACCAGACAUUAGCCCUUUCUCUCUAUUUAACAUAUUUCAAGUUCUCAUGUUACAUUAUACUCCCUCCGUCCCAUAAUGUAAGACGUUUUUUGACACUAAUGUAGUGUAAAAAAAGUCUUACAUUAUGGGACGGAGGGAGUAGUAAAUAUUCAAUUCACUUCUAUUUUGUAGACAGGUCAUUAGCCUUUUCUCUCUAUUUAACACAUUUCAAGUUCUCAUGUUACAUCAAAAGUACGCUGGUUAGGAUGUUUGCAACAUGCCGUGUGUUGUAAUCUUUGUCCACUGUACAUGCACAUAUUAAAUACUUUCAUUAGUACUUUUACAUA